rnacentral:rRNA from 1 species
GUGGGGAAUUUUGGACAAUGGGCGCAAGCCUGAUCCAGCAAUGCCACGUGGGUGAAGAAGGCCUUCGGGUUGUAAAGCCCUUUUGUACGGGAAGAAAUCAUUCGGGUUAAUACACUGGGUGGAUGACGGUACCGUAAGAAUAAGCACCGGCUAACUUCGUGCCAGCAGCCGCGGUAAUACGAAGGGUGCAAGCGUUAAUCGGAAUUACUGGUCGUAGAGCGUGCGUAGGUGGUUGUUCAAGUCUGUCGUGAAAGCCCUGGGCUGAACCAGGGAAUGGCGAGGGAAACUGGGCGACUAGAGUGCGGUAGAGGAUGGCGGAAUUCCCGGUGUAGCGGUGAAAUGCGUAGAGAUCGGGAGGAACAUCCGUGGCGAAGGCGGCCAUCUGGACCAGCACUGACACUGAGGCACGAAAGCGUGGGGAGCAAACAGGAUUAGAUACCCUGGUAGUCC